GGUCGAGUGGCGAAAUGGUAUCGUGUGGUCCUCCUAUAAGAAGGAUUUAGACUAAGACUGUGGGUUCGAGUCCCAUCUCGAUCG